rnacentral:rRNA from 1 species
AUCCCAGUUCGGAUUGCAGGCUGCAACCCGCCUGUAUGAAGUUGGAAUCGCUAGUAAUCGCGGAUCAGCAUGCCGCGGUGAAUACGUUCCCGGGCCUUGUACACACCGCCCGUCACACCAUGAGAGUCGGGAACACCCGAAGUCCGUAGCCUAACCGCGAAGGGGGGCGCGGCCGAAGGUGGGUUCGAUAAUUGGGGUAAAGUCGUAACAAGGUACC